GGAGGUCCCCAGGCUGGACGGAGAACAGCAGCAACUGCCCAGGGAGGCUCUGUGGCCUACAAUGAAUAGGUGGAGGCUCUUGAUACGGCAUGAGCAUCAGGGCCUCAGGGCAGCAACGGCCUCCUGAGGGACAGUGGCUCCCUAGGAUCUAGCAGACCUCAGCCCCAAAGUCCCCACACCAGAAGAGAAGAUGCUCAGUACCAGAGCAGAGGCAGGGAGAGAGCAGAGCACCAGAAAGCCAGUGCAGAAUUAUCUCCUCUGCCUCUGAACAGCACCAAACAGCUUUCAACAUAAAGGCUCAAGUGAAAAGGUCUUUCCUGCUGGAUGCCCUUGAGAAGUCAACCGCAACAGAAACUAGUCCCCUGCCAGGGUGAAAAGAAAACUGCUAAAUCAAGAAAUAAAGACUAUUUAAAUAUAUAAAAGUGAUGAUGAAAAGAAAAGAAAGGAAAAAAAAGGCUUCCAAAUUACCAGAAAGAAGACACAUAUACACCCCCAAAGCAAGGAAAACACAGACUACAAAUGAAGAUAAACAAGAUUUUUAGAAGCCAAUGGAAUAUUCAUGAGCCAAACCCUCAAAUAUAAAAAACAGAAAUUGUACUUUCUCUGAAAUCAUACAUUCUCUCAACACAUGGCAAACUUAAAAAUUAACAACAGGGUUUCCCUGGUGGCACAGUGGUUAAGAAUGCACCUGCCAAUGCAGGGGACACGGGUCUGAGCCCUGGUCUGGGAAGAUCCCACAUGCUGCAGAACAGCUAAACCCGUGCACCACAACUACUGAGCCUGUGCUCUAGAGCCUGCAAGCCACAACUACUGAGCCCUUGUACCACAGCUACUGAAGCCUGUGUGCCUAGAGCCCGUGCUCCACAACAAGAGAAGCCACCAUAAUGAGAAGCCUACACACCAUAAUGAAGACACACCCCCACCUGCUGCAACUAAAGAAAGCCCAAGCAGCAACGAAGACCCAAUGCAGCCAAAAAUGAAUAAAUAAAAAUAAAGUUCCCUUAAAAAAAAAAAAAAAUCAGAAAACACGAGGGCCUUUCUAC